rnacentral:rRNA from 1 species
UUGCUCUUCAACGAGGAAUGCCUAGUAAGCGCGUGUCAUCAGCACGCGUUGAUUACGUCCCUGCCCUUUGUACACACCGCCCGUCGCUACUACCGAUUGAAUGGCUCAGUGAGGCCUUCGGACUGGCUCAGGGAGGUCGGCAACGACCACCCAGAGCCGGAAAGUUCGUCAAACUUGGUCAUUUAGAGGAAGUAAAAGUCGUAACAAGGUUUCCGUAGGUGAACCUGCGGAAGGAUCAUUACCGAGUUCGUGGGCGUUCUAACCGGACCCCAAACUCCCACCCCAUGUGUACCUGAACCUCGUUGCUUUGGCGGGCCUGCGCGCCCUGAAAAAGCGCGCUGCCGGCCCUGCUGGCCCGUGCCCGCCAGAGGACCUUCAAACUCCUGUUGUCAUCAGUGCCGUCUGAGUGUAAAACUUAAUACGUUUAAAACUUUCAACAACGGAUCUCUUGGUUCUGGCAUCGAUGAAGAACGCAGCGAAAUGCGAUAAGUAAUGUGAAUUGCAGAAUUCAGUGAAUCAUCGAAUCUUUGAACGCACAUUGCGCCCUUUGGUAUUCCGAAGGGCAUGCCUGUUCGAGCGUCAUUACACACCUCAAGCUCUGCUUGGUAUUGGGCCCUCGUCCGUCAGGGACGGGCCUCAAAACCCUCGGCGGCGGUGCCCGGCUUUGAGCGUAGUAGAACUUCCUUUCUCGCUCUGAAAGCCCGUGGCGCCCGCUUGCCGGACGACCCCCCAAUCUUUCUUCGAAGGUUGACCUCGGAUCAGGUAGGGAUACCCGCUGAACUUAAGCAUAUCAAUAAGCGGAGGA